AUUGUGUUUGAAAGAUAGAACAAACAAUACAUUAUGAAGAGUAAUGGAGGGAGUUAAAGCAAAAGAGCCAGUUGAAGUUACUUUUACUUUGUAUCCAGCAGGAAGAGUGACAAGAUAAGCUACAAGCAAAGGUGUGAUAUUAAAGAGUAAGUGUUUAUUAGAUGUCAUGUGAUCAGAAGCUCCAGAAUCUAUUAUCCAGGAGACAGAAGCAAUAUGAG
rnacentral:lncRNA from 1 species